GAGGGAUGGCGCCGGCGCAGGCCUGCGCGCCACGCGCUUUAGGUGGAUGAGGGAUGGCGCAGGUGCAGGCCUGCGCGCCUCACGCUUUAUGUACAUGAGGGAUGAGGCAGCACAGGAAUUGGCACAACCUGAAGUCAGCUCUGCAGCUUUCCAAGCUUCGUUCUGCGUGUCCUGUACUCAACAGUCAUCUCAUGCUGCAGGGUGGCUGCGUGUGCUCCGUACAUCACACCCAUAUUUCAGGGAGAAGACUGCACAUAUAACACAGCUCUGCAUGGAAAACCUUCCGCCUGGAGGGGUGGCUUCCUAGAGGUGUGGCGUUGCCCUCUGUCUUGAACAGGCUGUGAGCCGUUUUGUCAUUUGGGGUUUCUAGAUGCAAACAGCAGAAGCUGCUGGCCAAUUACCAAAGGGAACGUGCUGUUAGGAUAUCAGGGCCUGGGAGCUGCAGCAAUGUGGGCUGACAGCAGAGAGCUAAGGCACUUUCCGAGGUGACGAGCUGGGCUGCUAUGCUGGAGACGGCUGGGCAGAAGCAGUUAGCAGGGCAUUUCCUUGUGUCCUUAUCUCAAGAGUCACAGUUUCAGGAGUGAGCAUCUCAGAGGUCAGGGUUCAUUCACAUGCCACCUCCCUUCUCACUGUGUCAUUGGGGAGGGGCCGUCUGGACCCUCUGGCUCCUGUGGCAAGAAAUGGUCCCAUCAAGUCAUCCAAGGGCCUGGAAGCCUCCCAAGGAAAGCAGGAGGGCUGGGUGCUGAGCAGCGUCCAGCAGCAAAGGUAGGCUCCAGCCCCGCAGGUGUGGCUGCGCCAUCCCAGGGAACGUGCCCCAGCAAGUGCUGGUGCUGCUCUCACUACAGGUGGGGUUGGUUUCACUGGACAGGUGGCACUUCCUCACCUCUUGCCCUCUGGACCCACGGCAGGCACUUUCCAGGGCACAUCACGUGGGUGUGCGGUCUGGCUGCUGGGUCCACGCGGGUUCUCAAUCAUGACCUGGCUUGCAAGCUCUUUCCACAGUUGGAUAAAUGAAGCCGUUGGGGAAGUAUCCGCAAACUCUUACAGUGAGUAUGUGAUAAUGACACACGCGUGGCCCUUCUAAGACCUCCGCUAGGCAUUAUCAGUGACUGUGCUCGUGAGCGCUGACCUCCGCUAGGCGUUAUCAGGGACUGUGCUCGUGAGCGCCGACCUCCGCUAGGCGUUAUCAGGGACUGUGCUCGUGAGCGCGGACCUCCGCUAGGCGAUAUCAGGGACUGUGCUCAUGAGGGCGGACUUUCACCAGCCACGCUUCCGAGGAGUGGAGUCUUUCUCAGCUCUGCCUCUCCAAGAUGACCAUCUUGUGAAGACGAUGCGUUCUUUAUACACAAGUUCUGUGUGUGUGUGUGUGUGUUCCACACACAGGACCAAAGUUGAGAUAGGCGCACAUUUUCUUGGUCCCACUUGUGGCCCCAGUCGGCUGUCAGAAGUGGGUGUGCUCCACAUGUACCCACCAUGUCAGGGCACAGUGCUCACAUUUCACACCUCAGCAGGUGCCUUGAUGUUGACCAGAGGCCCCAAAAUCAUCUCUUUCUAUGACUUCUAGAUCUUAGAUUCCCAGGAACUGGGAAAUGCAGUCAGUAUCUUUUGGGUCCAAGAAACUUUGUCAGAGCCCUUGUGGGAGAACCAUAGAUUCUCACCAGAUAAACAGAAGAGCUUCGUGUUAGAGAAACCCGCCUGUCUCCCCACAUUCUCAGUUUUCUGGAGAGCAGCUGAAAGCCAUCUGGGUGGAGAUUAAGAGCUCCAACCGUGUAGCUUUGAUGUAUCGGGCAAGUUGCUUAAGCUCUUUAAUGCUGUUUCCUCAUUUAUUGUGUGAGGCCAAAAAUACCCAUUCCUUAAAGUUGUGAGGAUUAAAAACAGUAAUGAAAAGUGAGUGGCAAGUGCCGAGUACACAGUCAAGUACCUGAUACUUUUUAGUGUAAGGUAAGUAGCAAGAAAGCAUGAAAUUUAUUUUCAUUUACUCUUACUACAUGUGGUAAACCAUCUAUGCACAGAGCACUGCAUUGGGUGCCAUGAAUGACAGAAUAAGAGUACCAGGUGCAUGAAAAGCUUAAAAGACAAAUGAGACAGAGCUAGGCUGCAGAAGACUUAAAAAGUUGAUGUAUUUAACUUUUAAUGGACACACUGUACAUGUUUAUGGGGUACGAUUUGUUGUUUCCAUGCAUAUCUGUGUUGUGUAAUGAUCCAAUCAGGGUAGUGUGUGUGCCCAUUUCCUCAAGGGUGGAUCAUUAUGUGUAUCAUCGUGCAUCAUCAUGUAUCAUGCAUGUACCAUCAUCAUGCAUCAUUGUGCAUCAUCAUGCCUGUAUCAUUAUGUAUCACCUCAUGCAUAUAUUAUAAUGUAUCACCUCAUGCGUGUAUUAUCAUGUAUCACCAUGCAUGUAUUGUGCAUGUGCCAUCAUCAUGCAUCAUUGUGCAUCAUCAUGCCUGUAUCAUUAAUCACCUCAUGCAUAUAUUAUAAUGUGUCACCUCAUGCGUGUUUUAUCAUGUAUCACCAUGCAUGUAUUGUGCAUGUACCAUCAUCAUGCAUCAUUGUGCAUCAUCAUGUCUGUAUCAUUAAUCACCUCAUGCAUAUAUUAUAAUGUGUCACCUCAUGCGUGUAUUAUCAUGUAUCACCAUGCAUGUAUUGUGCAUGUACCAUCAUCAUGCAUCAUUAGGCAUCAUUGUGCAUGUAUCAUCACCUCAUGCAUGUAUUAUGUAUCACCUCAUGCAUGUAUCAUGCAUGUACCAUCAUCAUGUAUCAUUAUGCAUCAUUGUGCAUGUAUCACUGUGUAUCAUGCAUGUGUCAUCAUGCAUCGCCCCAUGCGUGUAUCAUUUCUUUGUGGUGAGAACACUCAGAAGCCUCUCAUCUCGCUAUCUUGUCAUAUAUGCUAUUUUAUUGUUAACCAAAGUCAGCCUAUUGUGCAGUAGAACAAUCUCUCCUCAUCCCCUGUCCUCAUCCUCCCCUCCCAAGCUUCCAUAACCACUGUUUACUCUCUGCUCCUAGGAGAUCAACUUAAAAUUUUGUGUUAUUUUUGGAUUUCACAUACAAGAAAUCCAUACAAGAGCUCCAUAUGAGAUCGCUCAGUACCUGUUUCUCUGUACCUGGCUUAUUUCGCUUAACAUGAUGUCCAAGCUCAUCCAUAUUGUCACAGAUGCUGGGAUAUCAUUUUUUUCAUGGGAGAAUGGUAUUCCAUUGUGUAUCUACACCACAUUUUCUUUAUUCAUUCUCCGUUGUUGGGCACCAAGGGCGAUUCCAUACCUUGGUGAUUAUGAACAGUGCUGCGAUAAGUGUGGGGGUGCCGAUGUCUCCUCAACCCAUGGAUUUCCUGUCACCUGGGUCUUUACCCAGCAAUGGGUUGCUGAGUCCCAUGGUAGUUCUAUUUGUGUUUUUUUGAGGAACCUCUCUGCUGUUUUCCUGAGUGGCUGUAGAGAGCUAUAGAACUUUAGGUCUGUGAGAGAUAAGUCCUCCAGUACACAUGCCAUUUUCAGAAGGGCAAACUGUAGCCCAGGAAGGUCAGGUGCCUUGACCAAGGCAGGCACAGUGAGAAAGAGGCAGUGUUAGGACCGCAACUGAUUUUCCUCUCCAGUCUCUUUUGUGAAGAUUGGAUGCUAAGGUCAUAUAGGAAGCACUAUGGAAUAUGUAGGAGGUGCUCAGUCUGUUUUGUGAAGAUUGUAUGCCAAGGUCAUAUGGGAAGCACUAUGCAUUAUGUAGUAGGUGCUGUGUGCCAUACAUUAAGAUUACAUUGUAAAUAGCAGGCACUAUGUAUUGUAUAUUAGCAUGAUGCACUGGGUCCUGUUGUCUGGGAGCCUGGCACCUGGCAGCUUCAAAGAACUUACAAGGUCCACAGGAAGGAACCUGGGACAGCCCAGGGAGCAUCACUGAAAGAAUUGGCCUGGAACAGAAGCCCCACAGCUCACCUGGGGGGAGCAGGGGGAGGAUAGGGGUGAGGAGGGAGAGGACCAGGGGAGCAGCGGGAGGACCAGGGGUGCAGGACGAGCACUGGGGGUGCACGGGAGAGCAGGGUGCAAGGACCUUGCUGGCUGAGAAGACAGCGGGAAUGGCGGGUCCUGGGAGAGGGGAGGAGGGGAGGCAGGCCACCAGCCACCCUGACUUCAGCCAGGAGACCCAUUUCAGAGGCUCAAAGGGUGGAGAUGGUGCAGCCAUAGUGGGAAGCUGAGCCCCAUGCUGGAUGCUCAGAUUGAGGGGGCUCCUGAGGGGCUGCGUUCCUCUCUCCAGGGGCCGUGGGACGGUGGCUGCUCAUCUCACAGGUAUUUAUUGGGUUUUUCACCACCUGCCAGGACUUUGCUGCCCACGUCACACAUUUCAUGUAACCUGUAGGUGUAGAGGCCUCAUUUUCAGACAAAGAUGAACUAAGAAAGUGUCUUCUCGGAGGUCACGGCUGGAGCCAGAUGGUCAGGCUCAGGCUGGGGCUGGCUUCCCUCGAUGUGAUGCACGGCUCCCAUGUCACGUUUCCCUGACUAUCAGGAGCUCCCAGAGGCCAAGGAUGGGGUGGCCGCCUGGACAAUUCAGACCUAAGGAAGGGCUCCUGGCCUCUUCCCUGAGAGCCUCUAAGCUGACUGCUCUCUUCCUGCUCAGCAGCUCAUGAUCCCCGGUGGCUUCCUUGAGCUGGGACUUGACUGAAACCCCUGGGACUGGCCCUCCAGCCACCCUGACUUCAGGGGGUCGAGGUGCUCACUGGGCCAGUGCUCAGGAGGCUCCGUGCCAGCUGGAACACCGGGAAACCCUCUAUCUGAAUCUUUGACCCAGGGAGGAGCCUGGAGAGGUGACGUCCCGGCAGGCCUCUCCCGCAAAACCCAGAAUCAGAAGUGGCCACACCAGGUCCGGCACCCACGGCAGCAGCAGGAGCCAUUUCUGGGACAACUUUGGGGAUAUACUUGUCCUUCCAAGUGAAAGGAGCUUAAAAAGACCCCUGAGCAGGAGAGAAAAAGUAUCUUCAAAGAGAACUCCCUUCAUCUUGAAGAAAGUGUCUGCGCUAGCCUCUUGGCCAUUGCGCCGCAGUAGAAUCUUAGGCUCCGUCACUCCUGUGACUUAAUUCAAUUGGCAUCGGUAUUUUGAAAAUAAUGAUUUUUCCUAAUUGUAAAUGUGAAAUGUAUUAUAGAAACGUCGUCCACAAGCCUCUCACUCAGAGAGAGACACCGAUAACUGUUUCUUUCCAUGGAGUACAUUCCACCGUCCCGUUUUCCCACCACACCGCGUGGCCUGACGCUUUCCUCUGUCAUGAACGGCUCUGAUACAACGUGAGAUGAAAUUCCAUCUCAGACAUGCACUGUGAUCACUCACCCCUCACUCCUCAAUGCCUGUGUGUCAUUGAGCACCUCACCUGUGCUAUAUAUUUCUCUUUAGGGUCACAAAAGAAUUGCUCUGUAAUCUCUGUGGGCAAGGAGAUUUCUCCCGAGUUUGAUUGGUUUUUCUGUUUUCUUAGGAUAGAAAUUUUUCUAGCAGUCAUUGGUCUAUUGAAAACACAAAUAAGCUUCACUUCAUACACUAGAAAACUUCAUAAUAUAAGGUUUAUAUUUGCCAUGAGAGGAAACAAAAUGUUGUCUUAAAUGCAUUCACGUACCCUAAGAAAAAUGGUAUGAAACGGUCAAGGAAAAGUUCCUUCUGAUAGUAAAAAAUUCACCCCCUUAUUAAACCAACAAUGAAGUUGCACUAGAUUAGAGUUUAGUUCCGAAACUCUGUGCUUUUAGAUAUUUGGUCCGUUAGGAUUUCCUGGUGGGGGGCACACGCGCGUAAGUCUCUUGAUGGUGGGGCUCUGGUUCUCUGGCCGAGACCACAGAUGUGUCUCCAGGCAGGUACUUCCUCUGCAAGUGUCUGAUGACCACAGUGAGGUGGGUGUGUUGAUAAUAAUCUACUGUCAUAGACACCUUACCUUAUUAAUACUGCUAAACCAGGAAGGGCACAAUUGAUAUUCUCAGGUUUUUUAAUCCUUUAAGAAGAAAAGAUAAUUAAAAAAAUCUUUUCACUCAAGAAGCAUACGAUAGAAUAUGGUGAUACAGACAAAGGGUAGGCCCACUGAUUCGAAAAUUACAGAUUGAAUCCCUGAGACAAAUAUCUCCCCUGCUUUCAGGUAGAUUACUGUCUACAGGUGGGAUAACCAUGUAUAAAAUUAUGUCAAAUUGUGUUGUGGUAUGUUUUGAUUCCUUUGAAAUAAGGGCUUCUCCUUUAUCCACACCACUAUCAAUGAAGAGUUAUUGACACUCUAUUAGCCAAUCAUAACAACCAUUAUUUAUUAGUGACUAUUACAUAUCAGAUAUUUUACACACUUUAUUUCUAGUCUUCCAAAAACCCUGCAUGAGAGCUGCUGUAUUUUUUUUUUUUUGAGAAGGAGUUUCUCUCUUAUUGCCCAGGCUGCAGUAAAAUGGCGCAAUCUGAGCUCACUGCAACCUCUACCUCCUGGGUUCAAGCGAUUCUCCUGCCUCAGUCUCCCAAGUAGCUGGGAUUACAGGUGCCACCACACCUGGCUAAUUUUGUAUUUUUAGUGGAGACGGGGUUGCACCGUGUUGGCCAGGCUGUUCUCGAACUUCCGACCUCAGGUGAUCCACCCGCCUCGGUCUCCCAAAGUUCUGGGAUUACAGGUGUGAGCCACUGCACCCGGCCUGAGCUGCUGCUGUUCUUACCUGAUAGACAGGAAAGCACAUUGGAGGUAUUAGUUGGCCAGGUGGUGGGGCUAGGCUGCACAUCCAGGCCGACUUUUCUCCACACGGCUGUAAGAAUCCCACCGCCAGCAGCACCUCCCAGAGGAUCGCACUGUCCAGGCGCUAAUGAGUGCUUUUAGGUACAACUUGCUGUGUUCUGUCUCCGUAUGGCCAAAUUAAGCAUUCAGUUUUAAUUAAACUAAUAAGAGGUGUCAUUGGAUAUGAUUAGAAAGGUGUGGCAUGUUCUGACACCCAGUAGUUUUAAGUAUCUUCAUCUGCUGCGUGGCUUACGUGCACCAUAAUGCCAGGACCCAGUGAGUUAGGUUCCCGCCGGGCACAGGGCUGGCUCACAGGGUCCCAGCGGGGGUGGAGGUGUGCACGGGUGGCCUUGGCAUGUCCUCAGCCUCCCCUGUGGGCUGUGGGCUGCAGGCUGGGCUGUGCCUGUAUCCGGGCAGCUUACCGAGGGCUCCCUGGUAUGACUUCCUUUGAAGCCCAUAGCGCCUCGUGGGGCCGCUAGAAGUUUGUGUUGCAGGAGGAACCGAUGCACCUUCCUUUCCUUUUGGCUUUGUAGUGCUUUCCUCGUUCAUUCAUGAGCCCCAAGAAUAGAAUUUGAAGGCUUACUUUUUACGAGGCAAAUCACAUCUCCCGGCUCGGAAGGGCCAGGGCAGCAGGGGAAAGAAAGUUGUGCAGAUUCGAGUCUUGAGUGACCCAUGGUGGGGUGCGGGGGGAGGCGUUCCCUGGAUGCAGCUGAGCAGCCCUCGGUACCUGGCCACGCCCUACAGUGGCCACCCCACACCCCCCCAGUGCCUUCACCACCACAGCCCCAUGCCCCUCUCCCGCCUUCACCACCACAGCCCCAUGCCCUGAUGUACUCCCAGCACAACCUUGGGAGGCUGAGUAAGCACCUGAGUGGGAAGAGGGGGCUUCCGAGACCAUGUAUGUCCCACAGCUCCAGGGACGUGUCCGGCAUUUCCAUGGGGGUGUCGUGUUUUCUUGUGUUGUCUAAGCCACUGCUGUUUCAUCGUCUGCUAAAGCAGCUGAAAUGGUUCCCCAAACGGAGAGAACACUUGGCUAAAUGUGCUUUGCUGAGGAAUUCCUGCCCCUCUUACACCCCCACUCUCCGAUGACACCUGGAAUUGAGCUGGGGCCCCAGAGCCGCCCCUUGGCUGGUCAGGGUGGGUUGUUCACUGCCCGUAAGCAGCAGCCAUGCCCCUGUCCUUGGCCUCUGAGCUGUGUGAGGACGGCUCACACCAGCAAUGCCGAGAUUGGCUCAGGGUGUCCAAGUGCACAUUCUAUUUUGGGGAAUUCUAUCCACCGAAAUUUAUUGGCUUGUAUGAGAAGCCAUGAUCUUCGCUGUCUUUUAUUUAAUGAUACAUAAUGUCCACGUGAACCAGGCAGCUUCCGGCAGCUCCAGAAGAGAGCAGCAGAGUUCGAAUCUUCUGUUUCAUCCUGAGCCAGCAGCAAGGGACUCCCAGGAGGAGUCGAGUUUGAUGCCUGCACUCCUCCCUCGGCGGCCAAGCUCGCCCCUUCCCCAAAAGUGCAGGGCCCUGAGGUCUCUUGCCUCACGACACGUCCAGGUGGCAGGCACCAUUGGGGCUGCCAUUAUCCACAGAUGAACUAGCAAACUUGAGGGAGUCUAAUGCUUUUCUGAAAUGACAGCCAGAAAGUGGCAGAGCUCUCUCAUUCCAAAGCCCUCUCCCCUCCACACAGAGCUGGCUGCAUGCGGGGCUGGGAGUUCCAGGAGACAGGGAGGAGGCACCAACGUCUUCACUUGCAAAAAACUCAUGCUCAGCAUAAAAGUCUUAACGUGGGAAGCCACCAGGCAUGGCGAGGUGGUGUGUCCCCUUGUGCACAUCUGUGUGCUGUAGGGGACACCAUUCGGGGGCAUCGCCAAGAAAAACGAGCAGGGCCAGGGCCGAUGGAGGCCAGGGUUAGGAGGGCCCUGGAGGGAUGGGCAAGCACACGCGAGUGGUGAUCAAGGAGUGGUGAUCAAGCCGCCCUCAGGAAGCCAUGACAAGGGUUCAGGGAAGUUGAUGAAAGGCCCAGAUCUGGGCAUCACCCGCGCACGGAGGGCUGAGUGGGCAGGAGAGGCCUGAAGACCAAAGAGCACUCAGAGCCUGGAGAGCAACCGCCCAGGGGAUGUCCAGGAGGCUGGCACGGAAGGGGCUGGUACCCACGCCUGAUCACACAGCUCCUGCCCCUGCUCCCUUCUGAGCCUCUUGUGUGCUAAAUCUAGCACACACACACAUAUGCACACAGACGUACACAUGCAUGCAUGUGCAACACGGCACACACAUGCACACACAUGCACACAGCACACACAUACACAUGCAUACACACAAUACCUGUGCACACAACACACACAUGCACAGAACACAUGCACAGCACAUGUCCAUGAGUGCAAAGCACACACAUGCACACACAUGUCCAAUGCACACACAUCAUAUGCUCACACACAUGCAUACACAUGCACACAAUGCAACACGUGUACACAUGUGCAAAGCACACACAUGCACACUCGUGAGUACACACUCCCCACAGAGUUCUGACUGGAAAUGCUCAGGCAGGAGCAGCAUUGGAAGGAGGCCCCUGGCGGGCACAGAGACAGGACAUAACCCACACUAGCCCAGGACACCAUCAGCUCCUCUAUCCCAGGCUGUUGCCCUCGGAAGAGCAGUGGCCCCUACCCCGUGGGAUCCCUCAUGCCCUCCUGCUCCCCUCUGUCUGAGACCCACCAGCCCACCGUUGCAUCUCUGGGGUCUCUUCCCUUUCCUCUCAUGCGGAGCCAUGCGCUGUCCCCCGGCCCAGACAUCCGUGUCCACACUGCUGACUGCCCCACCAGUGGCGAGAGCCUGCCUGGGAUCUUCCCUUUACAAGAAAGAAGAAAAGGGAUAAAUACUUAUUUUUCCUUCUCAGGGACAGUAAUAGUGGUCAUUUUCCUUUCCUUUUCUUCUUAAACAUCUCAUUAUGGAAAUGUUCAAACACCUGCAAAGUAGGACAGAAUGAGCCCCAGUGCCGUCAUCUCUGGGCCGUGUCCUUUGAUCUGGUCCCCACCCAGCCUCCCACAUCCCACGCUGAUUCCUUUGAGGCAAACAUCGAUGACAUCUGGGCAUUGGAUUCUGAAACGUGAGUGUGAAGGAGAUGGGGCCUGUGGCUACUAAGUCUGCUCAGAAAUCGUAGACUUCGGGGAAUUGAUCACUAUUUUGAAAUGUCAGAACAUGCUGACAGGGAAGAACGUAGUCGAAGUUUUGCUGUGACGAGGGUGCGUCUUCAGGAAGAGGCUUCUGCAGCAUCAUCCUCAGCUUCUCAUAAGGCGACAUUGGUCACGCUAUUCUUGGUUAUUCCAUAAAAUCUUGGCAUCUUGUGAUGUGUUGGUUGUUUUUUUAUAUGUAUGACUAAGCCUAGCAUGCCAGGCCCCCGGGACGCUGAUUUACAGGCUGUGUCCUCUCAGUGACAGUGCGCAGCUCCCGUUUUCUCCAUUCUGCAGUAAGAGCUGUUAACCACACAGAACUCACUGCACACAGCGGCAGAGGGAGCAGCUCCCCUCCAGCCUCUUGGGCUCUCCUCGCCUGUUUUCUGCACCAGAGAGUGAGCUACGGGGCAGCCUGGCCUUGUCCUUUCGUUCCCUCAGCCACUAGCACAGUGCCUCGUAGGUAGUAGGUGCUUAAUAGAUGUUCAACUAAACUCCUUUCAAGCUACAUAAAGUACCUGUAUUUGGCUUCAUGAAAUUGCAUGAGAGAUUUGGCUUGUGUUGGUUGAGUGAGAAAAAGCAGCUCCCGGGGCCUCUGGUGAUCAGCUUCAGCCUUGUGCAUAUCUGCUCCUCCCUCUCCGGCCUCCCCCCACACCUGUGAGACCCUAGGUCAUGCUUGGCCAGGCCUGGCAAGGAAUUUCUGAAUCUACUUUACAUUCUUUUGAAAAAUGAUCUGGUGUGGAGUUAGCUGCCAAGGGAGGCCAGGAGGUUUGUGUGAGGUGCUGGAGGGAUCGGGAGGGCUGGGCAGCCCUAGGGUGACGUGGGGCCCUGAGUCCCAGGCCCUGAGCCUGUGGGCACGAGUGGCAGGUCGACUGGGAGCAGUUGCAUUGCACCGGGUGCUGUGACUCUUAGAUGCCCAUGUGCCCUCGAGCCCUGUUUAAUUCCUCCUCCAUCAGAGGGCACGGGGCAGGACGCAGAAGCUUCGACAUGGACUGGCUGUGUGCAGGGGCCUGGAGAACAGAACGUGUCGCUGGAGCAGUGUGUGCAGGACCCGCCGGGGCGCAGCACCCCUGUAGAACCGCACGGGAGCCGCUCGCAGGUGGAACACGUGCUUGCUGCGGUGCUAACUUUGUGUCCAGGCACAGAAUCGAGCCCGUUCCCAACCCGUGAGUGGGUCCCUGCUGUGUUCAUCUGAAUAAGAUGAAAUGAAGCACUGGUGGAGGUAGCAUCCCGGGUCUCAGCAGUCAUAGGUGCGCGUGAACACAGGGCAUGCGCUCCACCCGCCGUCCUCAGCGGCGCACACGCACAGGUGGUGUUCAGAGUGUGACGACAGCUGGGGUUUGUUUGUUCGUUUGUUUUAUGGAGACGCAAGGUCUCAAGGUCUCACUCCAUUGCCCAGGCUGGAGUGCAGUAGCAUGAUCACAGCUCACUGCAGCUUCAGCCUCCCAGGCCCAAGCAAUCCUCCCAGGCCCAAGUGAUCCUCCCACCUCAACCUCCUGAGUAGCUGAGACCACAGGCUGCUACCACCACACCUGGCUAAUUUUUGUAGUUUUCUUUUGUAGAGAUGCAGUCUUGCUGUGUUGCUCAGGCUGGCCUCAAACUC
rnacentral:lncRNA from 1 species